rnacentral:misc_RNA from 1 species
CGAAAUUAUUGCAUCCAUAUGAUAGAGCAUCUGAAACUCUCUUUUCAGCAAUUGAGUCUGGACAUCUGCCAGGCGAUAUUUUGGAGGAUAUACCUUGCAAAUAUGUUGACGGAACUCUAGUCUGCGAGGUGCGAGAUUAUCGGAAGUGCUUCCCUGAAGUUGGACAAAAUGCGCCUUCAACCACUGGUUGUCCCAUUAUUAACAGAGUAUGUCUAAAAAUGUCUCUUGAAAAUGUGGUGAAGGACAUUCCAUUGAUUUCAGAUAGUGCUUGGACAUACGGUGAUAUGAUGGAAGUCGAAUCCCGGAUAUUAAGAGCCCUACAACCACAACUCUGCUUAGACCCCGCCCCAAAGUUAGAAAGCCUCUGCAACAACAAAGCUUCCUCAAAGUUGACAUUGGGUAUAGGCAAUCUAAGGAGGAAAAGACUGAGGCAGCUUCCAGAUGUGAUUGUCAUGUCUAAUGAUAAGAUCCAUGGAAAAAAUAUUUGCAUAGAUAGAGUGCCAGAAAGUUCAAGGUCAGGAGAUACUGGACAGCUUCUGCCGCAGCCUGCUCAUGAGAAUCUG